GAAAUGUAAAUUAUUUUGCUUUGUAAGAGUUUUUAAAUUGCCAAAGUUGCAUUACAAAAAUUACCAAAAAAGGCAAAUGUAUCUUAAAGAUGUGCAUAUUUUUUGUGAGAGCUCGAAAUUGAGGAAGCUCUGCGCCAAAUGAAAAGAUAAAUAAGAAGUCCAACGCCUGUUGCCGAGUUCUUCGUCAUCGUCUUCGCUGUGUCUUUGCAUCGUGGCUGGCGGUUGAAGUAUUUUAUUGUAUACACGUGACGGACCAAAUAUUGCAAUUGUCACAGUCUUUGAAUUUUUGUUCAUUGACGCUCCCCGAAGGCAGCCGCGACUUGGAUGGCAGGAGACAUUUAAACGGAAACUUUCGAUUUGCAGCUUCAUUAAAAAUGUUUAGUGCUUUAUUCCCGA